rnacentral:rRNA from 1 species
GACGAACGCUGGCGGCGUGCCUAAUACAUGCCAGUCGAACGCAUUUUCUCUCACCGUAGCUUGCUACACCGAAAGAAAAUGAGUGGCGUACGGGUGAGUAACACGUGGGUAACCUGCCCAACAGCGUGGGGUAACACUUGGAAACAGGGCCUAAUACCGCGUACUUCCAUUUUCCGCAUGGUAAAUAGAUGAAAGGCGCUUUUGCGUCAUUGACGGAUGGACCCGGGGUGCAUUAGCUAGGUGGUGGGGUACCGGCUUACCAAGGCUGCGAGGCAUAGCGGCCUGGAGAGGUGGUCCGCCAAAAUGGGAAUGGGACAAGGCCCAGAAUUCCACCGGAAGCAGCCAUAAGGAAACUUCGGCCAAGGGCGCAAGUCUGAACGAGCCACGCCGCGGGGGGGAAGGAGGUUUUCGGAUCGGAAAACUCUGUUGUUUGAAGAGAAAAAGGAGGAGGGGGGAAAGUUCAUCCCUUGACGGUAUCUAACCAGAAAGCCACGGCUAACUACGUG